CUACGGGACGCAGCAGUGGGGAAUAUUGGACAAUGGGCGAAAGCCUGAUCCAGCGACGCCGCGUGAGCGAUGAAGUAUUUCGGUAUGUAAAGCUCUAUCAGCAGGGAAGAUAAUGACGGUACCUGACUAAGAAGCACCGGCUAAAUACGUGCCAGCAGCCGCGGUAAUACGUAUGGUGCAAGCGUUAUCCGGAUUUACUGGGUGUAAAGGGAGCGUAGAUGGCAUCACAAGUCAGAAGUGAAAGCCCGGGGCUUAACCCCGGGACUGCUUUUGAAACUGUGGAGCUGGAGUACAGGAGAGGCAAGCGGAAUUCCUAGUGUAGCGGUGAAAUGCGUAGAUAUUAGGAGGAACACCAGUGGCGAAGGCGGCUCGCUGGACUGCAACUGACAUUGAGGCUCGAAAGCGUGGGGAGCAAACAGGAUUAGAUACCCUGGUAGUC
rnacentral:rRNA from 1 species